rnacentral:rRNA from 1 species
UACCAGCUCUCCGAGUGGUAGGGAUGAUUAUUGGGCUUAAAGCGUCCGUAGCCGGCUUAGCAAGUCUCCUGUUAAAUUCAGCGACCUAAUCGUUGAGCCGCGGGAGAUACUACUAGGCUAGGAGGCGGGAGAGGUCAACGGUACUUCCGGGGUAGGGGUGAAAUCCUAGUAAUCCCGGGAGGACCACCAGUGGCGAAGGCUGUUGACUAGAACGCGCUCGACGGUGAGGACGAAAGCUGGGGGAGCGAACCGGAUUAGAUACCCGGGUAGUCCCAGCUGUAAACGAUGCGAGCUAGGUGUUGGGGUGGCUACGUGCCACUUCAGUGCCGCAGGGAAGCCAUUAAGCUCGCCGCCUGGGGAUACGGCGCAAGGCUGAAACUUAAAGGAAUUGGCGGGGAGCACCACAAGGUGUGAAGCUUGCGGUUU